rnacentral:rRNA from 1 species
UUGGAGGGCAAGUCUGGUGCCAGCAGCCGCGGUAAUUCCAGCUCCAAUAGCGUAUAUUAAAGUUGUUGCAGUUAAAAAGCUCGUAGUUGAAUUUCGGGACCAAUAUGUCGGUCGUGCUUCGGUACGUACUUGCAUUAUUGGUUUCCCCCUUCUGAAGAACCAUGAUGUCAUUAAUUUGGUGUCUUGGGGAAUCAGGACUGUUACUUUGAAAAAAUUAGAGUGUUUAAAGCAGGCUCACGCUUGAAUACAUUAGCAUGGAAUAAUGAAAUAGGACGUUUGAUUCUAUUUUGUUGGUUUCUAGGAUCGACGUAAUGAUUAAUAGGGAUAGUUGGGGGCAUUAGUAUUCAAUUGUCAGAGGUGAAAUUCUUGGAUUUAUUGAAGACUAACUACUGCGAAAGCAUUUGCCAAGGAUGUUUUCAUUAAUCAAGAACGAAAGUUAGGGGAUCGAAGACGAUCAGAUACCGUCGUAGUCUUAACCAUAAACUAUGCCGACUAGGGAUCGGAUGAUGUUAUUUUUGAUGACUCAUUCGGCGCCUUACGGGAAACCAAAG